UAUGGAAAAAGCAUAUUCUUGGGCGC
rnacentral:miRNA from 1 species